rnacentral:lncRNA from 1 species
AAAUUUGUAUCAAAAAGAAGUCUUGUCGAUUAAAUUUGUCUACCAGUUAAGAUUUCAAGUCGAUCGAGAUUGUGAUGAUGAUUGUCAAUUGUUGUAAAAAAAAUCAGAACUUAGAGCUCUUACGAGACGAGCCAUUGUUGGAGAGAACAUAAUUGCACAAUCUCGUUCCGAUAGACACGAACCUGCUUCACAAGAAUCUCGUUCGUCUCAGCCAACAGAGAAGAAUAUGAUAACGGUGAUCGUGAAGAAAAAAAGAAUAACUUGGUAAUUUUCCACUUAAACUUAAGUAAACUAACGGUUAAUUUAGUCUUCUUCCAAAAUGAAUGGGUUAUUUUUUAGAAGAUUAAGUUUUUUUUUAGCUAUUUUUAUUAAUUUUCAAUUAAUUAAAGGAAAAAUCACAUUUUUAACCUCCAAAGUUGAAGUUACUAGCACUUUAAACCUUUAAACCUUGAAACUUUUACUCUCACACAUUAAACCUUCAAACUAAUUAAACUCUCACUUAAAACUCUUAAAUUAGUAAAUUAGUUUGUUUUGCCAGAAAAUUGACCGGAAGUAUUGGUUUCCAGGUAAAUAGUGAUGACUUGUCUAAUUUUUUUAAUUUUUAACUAUUAUUUUAAUUUGUUUAUUUUAAUUAAAAAAUAAAAAGAAAUACAAUAAACAAAAUCUUCGUAUCGUCUUCUCCUUGGACUCUCUGAUCUUAAUUUCAGGAUGACGACACUUCGUUAAUGAUACCAUCGGGAACUCCGCCGUCACCACGACUACCAUUGUGGUGGCCUGCGUUAUUGUUGUUAGUUUCGCCGGCGGGAAUCGAAGCGUGGUUUCCUCCUCUGCCAUUAUCGAUUUAUCGGAUCUAGGCGGCUUCAACAACAUAGAACGGAUAAUCGCGGCGGUCGAAGAUGUUUUUAUUGUUGUGUAUCCAGACUUCAAUAAAGCUUUUGACGAAUCCAAGCUCACAGCAGAAAUCUUGACCAUCUUCGUCGUGUUUAUGUAUCUCUCAACGAACUCGAUCGGCGAAUUCGUCCAAUUUCUAUCUCUGAAAUUGGCUGAAUUUCGUUCAUAAUCGCGUACAAGAUCAGAUUGGGUGGUGGUAAUUGUUGUGCCAAAGACAAUGAGAUCAAAGAAAGUUAGGAUUCGUUUCGGAGAGAAGUUGAAUUGGUGGAGUCGUGGAGAUUGACGAUGGAAACGGCAUGAAUCUGGUGGGUUGGAGUUUCCUUCCACUCAUUUAGUAUUUUUGUAUUUUGUUUGCUAGAAAAAUAAUUAAAAAUAAUUUUUUUUCAAAAAAAUAAAUUUUCACACACAUCACCAUUUUUUACCUGGAACACAAUACUUCCGGUCAUUCUUCUCGCAAAACAACAUAAAUUACUAAUUUGAUGGUUUUAAGUGAGAGUAUAAUUAGAGGUUUACAGUGAUAAUAACUUUAACUUUGAAGGUUUAAAAUGUGAUUUUCCCAUUAAUUAAAUAAACCUUUCAAAAUUUUAUUAGAUUAAUGAGUUCAUAGACCAAUGUUUUUUUCUAUACCCCAUAGGCACGCACGACCCUGUGGUAAUAUAUCUAAAAGAACACAUUAUCUUGAAGAUCAAAACUUGAUAUAAUUUGGAUCAUUACUGAGAUCUGAGGUUGAUUUACUAUAGAGUGCAAAAACACACACAGAACCAAAAAAGACCCAUCUUAUACACCAAUCAUCCCUUGUUUAGAAAAUAAACCUCGUCCAUCAAUGUUCUGUAAUUUCUCUCACCCAUCACAGGAUCCCUUUUCUUCCAUUCCUCAAGCAGC